CCUCCCUCUCUUCUUCCCUCCCUCCCUCUCUCCUUCCCUCGCUGCCGCCGCCGGAGCGGAACCGAAAGCGAAGGCGGCGCCGGGCGGCGGCGCUCCGGCCCCGCGGGCGGCUGCGGGGGCUGCGGGGCCGGUCCGUGCUGCCGGCGGAGCGGCGCGGAGCGGGGCGGCGCGUCACGUCCCGCCAGGUUCAGGAACCUGAUUUUUGCACAGAAGGCAGUAGGGAGCCCAGGGCAAGGAAGAGAAAUCGCUGGCAAUGACAGGCUGUGGGAAGAGGCAGUGAGCUGGGGGGGCUGAUCCUGCACCCUGCGCUUGGUGUGCCUCCCUGUCGCAGCGUGGCCGGGAUGAGGCCGUCGGUCACACCAUGCCAUCAUGCGUCCCCAGCACCUCGCCUGCCCCAUGGCCCCUCUGCUGUGACGGAGGCUGUGGCUGCCGAGUGCCUGGGGCGCCGUGGGACCCCCUGGCGCUGAGCCCCCGCUGCCGCGGCAUGGCCUCGCUCAUCGUGGUGACUGAAUACGACGCAACGGGGAGUGCGAGCGAGGAGGAGAUGAACACGCCCAGCAGUGAGGGUUUUGGGGACGGCCGGGAGCCGAGGGCGAAGCUGCACCUCUCUGGCCGAAAGCUCUCCCUGCAGGAGCGGUCGCAGCCUGCCCGCUCGCCCGGGAAUGGCGACGGCGCUAACGAACGCUUCAUCUACCCAUCCCUCCCUUACUCUCCGGUGACAUCUCCGCACUCCUCCCCACGGCUGCCGCGGCGGCCAACAGUGGAGUCAAACCGCGUGUCCAUCACAGGACUACAGGACUGUGUGCAGCUCAACCAGUACAAGCUGAAGGAUGAAAUUGGGAAGGGCUCCUACGGGGUGGUGAAGCUGGCCUACAACGAGGACGAUAACACCUACUAUGCAAUGAAGGUUCUCUCCAAAAAGAAGCUGAUGAGACAGGCAGGCUUCCCCCGUCGUCCGCCACCCCGCGGGGCCAAAACUGCCUCUGAGGGCUGCCUGCAGCCCAAAGGGCCCAUUGAACAGGUCUACCAGGAGAUCGCCAUCCUGAAGAAGCUGGACCACCCCAAUGUGGUGAAGCUGGUGGAGGUCCUGGAUGACCCCAGUGAGGACCACCUGUACAUGGUGUUUGAACUGGUGAAGCAAGGCCCCGUGAUGGAAAUCCCAACUCUGAAACCUCUCAGUGAGGAUCAGGCUCGGUUCUACUUCCAGGAUCUGAUCAAGGGCAUUGAAUACUUGCACUAUCAAAAGAUAAUCCACCGGGAUAUUAAACCUUCCAACCUCCUUGUGGGGGAAGACGGGCACGUCAAGAUAGCCGACUUUGGAGUGAGCAAUGAGUUCAAGGGAGCCGAUGCCCUCUUAACCAACACAGUGGGGACCCCCGCCUUCAUGGCUCCAGAAACACUCUCAGAAACCAGGAAAAUCUUCUCUGGAAAGGCUUUGGAUGUCUGGGCCAUGGGGAUCACGCUGUACUGCUUCGUGUUUGGGCAGUGCCCUUUUAUGGAUGAAAGGAUCCUGAGUUUACACAAUAAAAUCAAGACCCAAACAUUGGAGUUCCCAGACCAGCCAGAAGUUACAGAUUUCUUGAAGGAUUUGAUUGCACGGAUGCUGGACAAAAAUCCCGAGUCUAGGAUUUCGGUCCCAGAAAUCAAGUUGCACCCUUGGGUCACCAAGAAUGGAGUGGAGCUGCUGCCCACAGAGGAUGAGAACUGCACCCUUGUCGAGGUGACGGAGGAGGAGGUGGAGAAUUCGGUCAAGCACAUCCCCAGCCUGGCCACUGUGGUUCUCACACCUAGCGUGGCUCUCAUCUGCAUGUUCAGUUGUUGCACCAUGGGUUUCAGAUCUUGGUUAAAACGAUGAUCCGGAAGCGAUCCUUUGGGAACCCUUUCGAGGGAAGCAGGAGGGAGGAGCGGUCGUUGUCUGCCCCCGGGAACCUGCUGCCCAGGAAACAAGGCAGUGAAGAUAACCUGAAAUGCAAUGACUUGCCUGACGUUGGAGAGGAGGAACUUCUUUCGUGAACAACGACUUUAUGGUUCUGUUGAGCAACUUGGUCUGGGGCACGUUAUUAAAGUGUGCGGCUGAGGAUGAGCGACAUUAACAGAGCCUACACCAAACACAGCAUGACACGGCGCUAUUUCAGUAUAAUGCUGGAUGUAGAGCUUACAUAGCAGCAUGUUAUAAGACAUCCGACUACUUGUCAUAAACAUUGACAUCUCUGAUCGCUUGGACUGCUGACUUCUUGUGGGAAAGGUGCUGGCUGAUAGCAGAGAGGUGAGCUAUUCUGUUGAGCAGCAACAGUGCUUGGCAAAAAAAAAAAGAAAAGAGAAAAAAAAGCAGUCAAAAAUGCAUUUGGAACUACUUUUACCUGGUUUUAAUGCCAAACAAUUUCUGGGGACUGACGCCAGCAUCCCAGGUGUGUUGUAUGCCCAUCGCGUAGUCGGUGGGCACACGCAGAAGGGUGAAGCUUUUGCCAAGUGGCAUACACAACAGUAAAACUACACAAGCGCACUUUGAGAGUUCACAACCUACCAGAAAUGUUGUUGCAUCUAUUUCUUGUCGUUCUGGUUUGUUUUUAAUUGACACCUUUUUAACCGCAUGGGAACAAAGCAAAAACCCACCUUUUCAGCUUUUUAAAGAAUGCCUACCUUUGUGAGCCAAGUUGUAUUAAACAGCAUCUUUGGGACAUUCAGAAAGUGAAGUUAAUUACCUCCUAAGGUAAUUAAUGCCUUUCCUAAUGUCUUGGUGUGACUAGCACUUGGUAAGUUGAGUAUUCAGUGUAUGAAAGGAAAAGGUAUUUAAGGGCUUAAGUUCAGUCUGAACUAUUUUUGCUGCAGACACACGAGUGAAAGGUAGUGUUUAGCUGAAUGUUUGUUUUGAACAGCAGAGGAAGCACUAACAAUAGUUUGUUUCUAAAUCUUUUACUUGAUCUAGGUAGAUAUAUUAUUAAAUAUAAAAUUCAGGGUAAAAUCCUUCACUUCCAUGUACAUUACAUGGUUUACUACAAUUAAAAAUAAUACAACUUAUGCUAUUUUUUAAGUAUAGACUUAGGGCUUGCUUAGAAUUUAAGAUCUUAAUUAAAUAUUUAGAUUAGCUAGUAAUUUUCAAAGAAACUUUUGUUUUCCAAACUCUUAAUCUGGAUUUUUGGGGCCAAUGCUAUGUAUUUUUUGCAAGUUCAUUACCAGUAAUUUGUGAAUGCCUGUGGAUCAGAGGCUUGUUAGUAAAUUAAGUGUAUACCUAAUUCAUGGAUUGUUUCUUACGAAGAGCACUUUCGCCUUCAGUCAGAUUACUCUGAUCAUUUUGUGGUGCUUGUAAAAAAAAAAAAAAAAAAAAAAAAUCUAUCAUGUGGUGGGAGAGAUUCUGACGCCCAGACUCACUUUCCCAAGUUCUCUGUGCUUGGACAAAGCUGGAGAGUGGCAGCAUGUGGGUGAGCUGGAAAAGAGUCAGGGUUUUUUGGGGAAAGGGAUCACGGUAAGUACAGUUGUUUUGUGGAUGGAGUGUGGGACUGGGGAGUAAAAGGGCUGACUUCUCUGUCUGAUGUGGUUGUGUGACCUUGAAGGAGGCAUUUAAAAUGAUGGCGUACCUGAAAGAGGGGAGGAUUCGAAUGGCCCAAGCAUGCAAGGGACAGCUGAGGUGUAAUUCUUUGUCCUGAGGAAGAAGGCACUAGGAGAGACCUGAGUAUUUCGGUUAAUGGUAAGGUCUCUGUCUGCUAACCAUGGCCAGGUGUGCCCUGCCUUUAGGAAGCAACUCUCCCCUUGUCUUCCUUGAUUUUGGGCACUACAAGCAGUAGAGCGCUGAGGUCCUUGGCCCUACUGACAGUCAGACCUGGCCUGGUAAUUCCUGCUUAGGACGGGUCUUUGUUAAAGCUGGUGUAGUGUUCGCAAGUGUGCAGGUGCCUACACAAACUGUCCCUUAUAUCUUUCAAUCAUUUGAAGCAACCCUCCCCCUAAAUCGCAAUUUAUUACUACAACAUUGUGCUGCUGGCCUCUCUCCAAAGCCAGCGAUGGUGGUUCAUGGUUUAGGAGUGGUACUACGGAGUUUGGAGCCAUAAGACACGCACUGUUUUCCUCCCAUUUUAGUCCAAGGCUAUGCCAAAGCCCUGCAGCUUCAGCUAUAGGAAAACCAAACAGGUAACUUGGGUGCCAGCACUACUACAGCUGCCUGCUCCCCCUUUCCUAAACAGGACUUUUCAUUGCGGAACUGCCUGCGAGUGGGCAGCUCGGUUCUCUGACCUUGUAAAUGGACUUAUUCUGCAAAAAAAAAAAAAAAAAAGAGGGGAUCUGAUUAUUUAUAGCUGGUGUGUAGUCACGUUUGUGGUGUGCUUUGUUAAAGGUGAGUUGUAGAGAUGCUCUGUGCUGCAUAUCUCCGGUGUGUGAUUUGUCAGAUGCCGAGCGAGGCAGUUUACAUUUACCGAACAGGCUUGCCAGGUGCAACACGGCUUCUGAACAGAAUAAGCUGUGCCAGUUCCUCGUUGCCCAGCCACAUAGUUGCUGGGCCUCAGAUAUUACCAUAGAUCAGUGUCUUACAGCUAGCAUGGGCUUGGUUCGUAAGCAUCCUAAAGCUCAGAGCUUCCCUAAGGUGCUCUCCAAAGUGCUUUGGAGAGCCAGCUCCAGCAGGGCUGCAGCAAAAUGCACAUUUCUCAAAAAAACUCAAUGUAGAUUUUUCUUGUUGAUUAGUUCUGUUGAAAGCAUAAAGAGUGGCUGUGUGAGGAAGAUCUAGCUAAAUGCAUGACCUGAUAGAGAAGCUGUACUAUAUAUAUAAAUCUGCUCAGUUCCCUAGCGGCUGUUCCUUAGUGGUAAAGCUAGCUUUUUUCUUAUAGUGAAGUAAACAUUUUGCUUGUGCCUUGGAACUGGGCUAUAGCUUGAUUUCCCCAACUCCCUCCCUUUCAAGCAAGCCCAGUGCUGACUGUAGGCUUAAUGCUGGGUACUAAGCCUUUUUGGCUCUGAAAGCACACAGGAAAGUGCUAUUGGAAAACAGGCCUCUUGUCUUGAGUAGUUUUUCUUGGUGGUCCCCUCUUACCUAUCAGGCAAUUGAUCUGUUUCUUUUCUAAGGUCCUGAACUCUUGGUGAUUUUUAUACUGUUUGUUUAAUGACUGAGGCUUGUGUUUCAUUCCUACCCCUUUAUUAUGCAUUUAACUUUAUCAGGUGUAUCAAGUUUAAAUACUGUGUAUUUACCACUUUUAAAUUCUAUUACCUAAGAAAGAGAAAAAAAACAACCCAAAACAACCAAGUAAGUGUUUUUUCCACACAGCUGUUCAAGCUUCUCUGUAAAAGUUGAAAUAAAUGACAUGCAACCAAA